CCUACGGGUGGCAGCAGUGGGGAAUAUUGGACAAUGGGCGAAAGCCUGAUCCAGCCAUGCCGCGCGUGUGAAGAAGGCCUUCGGGUUGUAAAGCACUUUCAGUGGGGAAGAAAGCCUUGGGGCUAAUACCCUCGAGGAAGGACAUCACCCACAGAAGAAGCACCGGCUAACUCCGUGCCAGCAGCCGCGGUAAUACGGAGGGUGCGAGCGUUAAUCGGAAUUACUGGGCGUAAAGCGCGCGUAGGCGGUCUGAUAAGCCGGUUGUGAAAGCCCCGGGCUCAACCUGGGAACGGCAUCCGGAACUGUCAGGCUAGAGUGCAGGAGAGGAAGGUAGAAUUCCCGGUGUAGCGGUGAAAUGCGUAGAGAUCGGGAGGAAUACCAGUGGCGAAGGCGGCCUUCUGGACUGACACUGACGCUGAGGUGCGAAAGCGUGGGUAGCAAACAGGAUUAGAUACCCCGGUAGUC
rnacentral:rRNA from 1 species